AGGUAGUUGUUGGGGUAACGGCCCAACAAGNNUGUCAUCGGUACGGGUUGUGGGAGCAAGAGCCCGGAGAUGGAUUCUGAGACNNNAAUCCAGGCCCUACGGGGCGCAGCAGGCGCGAAAACUUUUCCAUGCGGGCAACCGUGAUAAGGAAACCCCGAGUGCCAGCACAGGCUGGCUGUCCAUCAGUGUAAAUAACUGGUGAAGAAAGGGCCGGGCAAGACCGGUGCCAGCCGCCGCGGUAAUACCGGCGGCUCGAGUGGUGGCCGCUAUUACUGGGCUUAAAGGGUCCGUAGCUGGAUAUACAAGUCCCUUGAGAAAUCCGCCGGCUUAACCGGUGGGCGUUCAGGGGAAACUGUAUUUCUAGGGACCGGGAGAGGUGAGAGGUACUGCCGGGGUAGGAGUGAAGUCCUGUAAUCCCGGUGGGACCACCUAUGGCGAAGGCAUCUCACCAGAACGGGUCCGACAGUGAGGGACGAAAGCUGGGGGAGCAAACCGGAUUAGAUACCCGGGUAGUCCCAGCUGUAAACGAUGCGCGUUAGGUGUGUCAGUGACCACGUGUCACUGAGGUGCCGAAGGGAANNNNNGGGGAGUACGGUCGCAAGGNNNAAACUUAA
rnacentral:rRNA from 1 species